GGUUUCUUUUAACCCAACCGCUAGAAAUUGCAGCUGCACUUUUUGUGCCAAGAGAGCGCACGCAUGCGCGCGUCGUCCGAUCGAGGCGCGCGCUGCAUCCAACCGCCCCAGAUCAUCCCGAUCAGGUGUUGGGCAGUCGGAGCCAGAGGCGAUGAAGACAGUGGCAUGCCGUGCACGUGCAGGUCUCGCACUGGCCGAUGACCUCGGUUUGCACUAAAUUGUUCGGGAGAUAAAUGUAAGGAUUUUCACUAGAGCAGAUUUCAUCUUUUAAGGAAGGUCGGCAAACGUGGACGCCUAUAUAUCAGGCACUCCAUCCAGGUAUACUAGGCGUUCUAGUUUUUCGCGGGUACUAAGAAACUGAGUACACCAGCCUUCUUGCAUGCAUUUUAUACUUAAGGGCACAUCCAAUUACUUUGCAGCUAGUCUUGCAUGCAGCUCUUGGACCAAUCAUAACUGUUGCAGGUGGAAUAGGAAAACAUUUAAUAGAUGAAGAAGAGUGGUCAUAGCCUAUGCGCCUCAUAUUAGUGGGCUUCAGGUUUUGAACAAGACGCCCCUAAAAGCUGGACAGAGGGAGUAGCUAAAAGCUCUGUAAAUUUAUUAGGUAGACAUGUUUGGUUUUUAAAGCACUGAAUAAAUAAAGUCAGUGCUCCCUUAAAAAGAAAAUGUUUUAUAUUUUUUGUUCCACUUUCAGCCUUUCUCUUGAUACACCCGCAGACUGACCAAAGGAUCUCACGGCUCCGACACCGAAAUUAAUCCUAACAUACUUGGUUUCUCUUCUAGGCUGAAAGACCACGUACAUUUUGUGACACGUGAGAAAUCCGCUGCAUUAUAAUCGUGAUUAUUAUUUUUCUUGUCUCACCCCUGAUGCUUUGAGAUUAGUUUUAAGAGAGAAUUCCAUAUUUUGCCACUCAAAUUUCGCCCAUAUGUCCAAAUGCCACUCAGAAUUUAUUUGUUGCAAAUUUGCCACUCAAAUUUUGCAUGGAGUACUAAUAUGCCACCACCAUUAGUUGACCGCUAAUUGACCGUUAAAUAAGAGAUGGAAAAUACAAUUUUGCCCCUAACUAGUAUGUUGAUUUUUCCUUUACAACAAAGUACUCAUUUAAAGAACUUAUAAUUCCAAAAUUUUAAGAAUUCAGUAACACAGGUUAUUCGAGGAACAACGUGAGCAUGUUCUUCGAGAAGCCACUCACCAGCGCCACCCCUUUCUGUUGCGAAUCACGCAGGUUCCAGAAUACAAUCUCUAGAAUGGCGUUGCAGUAACCGGCCUCUGAAAAACUUCUUGGUGACGGCCUCGUAGUCCGUCUCCAAUGGCCUCGACGACGCCUGGUCAAACUCCAUGUCGCUGAACACAAACACCUUCUUCACCAUGCGCUCCGGACCCUUAAUUAUCAGGGGUAGAUUUGGGGUGUGGUUUGGUUCAAAUUUAUAUUCAACCAGAUACAGAAAAUGUCAAUCAAGCAAUUCAAGAACUUAGUUUCUAACCUUUUAUGUUCCAGGCUACGUUUUGUGUGAGCUGUCUUAGAUUGAGAACUUUUUUCUUGCAGUGGAUAGUGGAGAUUGCAAUGUUUUUAGUUGGGUUAAUUUAAUAAAAAGAUUCGCACAAACUACGGUCUACAAGCAGCAUGACAGAGAUGCUUCACCUUCUCCACUUCACCUAAAGUUGGGAUUUAUUUACUCAAUGAUCAAUGAUGCCACCCAUUAGUCAUUUUCCCCGAACCGUUACCAUCGAACGUAGCACCCCGACUCCUCCUCUCUUCCUCCUGUUCACGUUCCUUCUCACCAUGGCAGCACAUCUCCCACGAAUCUCCCCCACAGCGGCUGGGGGUCCUUCUCCAGCGAGCCCCCUGUCCUCCUCCGGCUAGCCCUCUCUACAUCUCCGUCCAGCCGCCGCCGCUUUCCUGGGAUUCACCGCCGCCACCGCCCGGAUUCGCCGCCGGUGCCGUUUAUCCAGGACGCCAAGACCACGAUUUGUCACUGCUACCACCGGAAUUUGUCUCUGCCACCAUCGGGCUUUGCCACCGCCGCUCCUCCGGACUGCACCGCCACUGGAUUCGCCGCAGUUUGCUAUUUCGGAUUAGUUUUCUUGGAGAAAAUUUCAGUUCAUUAGUGAUGAACUGAUGACCCGUAGCAAAUUGCAUCAGUUUUGUUUGAAGGUCAGACGUACGGGUCUGCCAUACAGGAGUACCAAAUUUGUAUGCUUUCGAUUAUGUGGUUUGAGCGCAGUGUAAUUUGAUGGGUCAAAACCUGGCUCUGAAGCCAAUCUACUGGCCAAAGAGCAGGCAGGUGAAGUGAAGUUUGGAGGUGAAGUGGAUAUAAGGUAUAGUUUCAGUUGUUCCACAAGUCCGAACAAUAUAAGAAUACAAUGAAGAGAGCAGAACACGCACGCGUCCCAUGUCUCUCCUAGGGGCGUCAACGGGGCGAAAUCCUAGCCGCCGCCACUAGGACCUCCUGCAUGCUCCUCUCCAUCGCCGCCGCUGCCGCCGGCCUCCUCUGCCGCGGUGGCGGCAGGCCCCACACCACAAAGGGUUCGUGCGGGUUUGCUGUGGUGGCGGCGUUCUCGGGCGGCGGGGCAAGCGAAGGCCGGGGCAGCGGCCCCGGGAGUCUUGGCGGCAGCGUCCCCGGGCGUUGUGCGCUCCGGUAGGCGGAGGCGGCUGCAAGCUCAGGCAUCGGCGGGUGCGGGUGGCCGGGCGCGGCGGCGGUUCGGCUGGAUCUGGCCAGGUGUGGCUCGUGGCGAGAUGUGUGUCGCGGGCGGGGCUCAACGCGGCUGCUGGCGCGAGGGCGUCCAGCGCUGCUGUGUGCGGCGUGGUGCGGGGGUUUGUCGGCGGCGGCGGCCUUGCUGCUUUAGGUGCAGUUGGCGCUUCUCCCUACCCCAGUGCGAGGCUUCGGCACGUAGGCUCUGGCCGACGUGGCUGCGGCAGCGGAUGCCGGGACGGCGGUCUCGGGAUUUGGCCGGGUCUGUCUAGGCAGUGGAUCUGGCGCCUUGGGCGCGGAUUUUGCUUGGGCAUGCGUUGGCAGGCGAUGGAAGUCGAGGUGGCGACCUCGGAAAGGAGUGAAGGCGGUUUGUUGCGCUGGGCGUAGUCGGUAUCUGGAUGACAGGGCGGCGGCCCUGGGCAGCGUUGGUCCGCAGACUGUUAGAGGCAACGACGAAGGCUGGGCUCUUGAGGCGCCUCACUUCCACCUUUGCAGGGGCGGCCCAAACCCGCUCCUCCCAUAGCGGAUUUGGUUUCUCUCCCCUUCAACGGGGCGAUGGUGUGUGCGGUGUGGUACUCUGUCAAUGUUUCUUCCGUGCUCCUUCGGAGCCUGUUGAGGUACUUCAACCCCUCUCUGGUAGGUCGCGCCGGAUCUGGCUUGUGUGAUGUGAUUCCGAUGCGACGGGGAUGCUUUUUCAGUUGCUUCCGUUGUUGUGUUGGUGUGUAGGUGGUGGUUUGUUUUGUUGGUUCAGACCUUGUGUCAGCCGGUUGGGGUUUCGUCCCCUUUGUAUCUGGUUUUCGCCUGGUUUUCUCUAAUUAACCGGACAACUCUAUUUCUUCUAUAA